rnacentral:lncRNA from 1 species
CUUUAUUGAAUUCAUAUUCAAACCACUUUUUAAAAUAUUUUGCAAGCAAAUAUUUCAUUUAGAAUUUGAUUUCCUAUCCAAAUGGUAUUUAUUCUCGAGGAAUCGAGGUGAUGCCUUAGUGGCGAUGAAUACAUUAUUUUUACUCCUCUUUCUCCGUAUGAAAAAGGAUAUAUAAACGAGAUGCCAGCCGACUCAUUCACACGCAUGAGAAUUUUUCCACGGUUUCAUUCCGGCUGGGAGCUGAAGGAGUUAAACCUGAGGCCGGUUGUCUGGUUUCUUUCCCCGCCCCCCCCCGCCCGCUCCCCCGGGACUGCUGGGAUUGGUUGGCACUUGGCCAUCAGGCUGUCAAUCACCGAGUGUAAACAAGGCGCUGAUUGGCUGUUGUCCAGUCCGCACUGGGCCUCCUGAAAAAAGCAAUUACUGGCUCCGCGGUUUCAAGGCGGCCCCAGGCCGCUUGAUGAAAGGAGAUAAGCUGGGGACUGUUUCCAGGAUCCCCGCGGGCCGACCCCGGCAGCCCGGGAGCGGAGGUGCGGCGGAGAGCCCGUGGAUCAAAGGAAUCCGCAGAGAAAGGGGAAAGCGGGCAGACGGACGAGCCGGCCUUGCCCCCCGCGGGCCGCGCUGGCCCGGGGUGGGGGCCGCGGGCGGGGACUCCGGGAUUUCCCGCCCGCCGGGCACCAGGCCUCUGCGGGCUCCCACUUCGGGCACUUGGCCUGGAGGAACUCCAGAUGCUGGGCUCAGUCUGAUGCUGCAAAACCCUGAUGAGGAUGCCGGCCAUCCCCUGGCAGGAGCGAGUCGUGGGACCCGUGUUCUUCAGGAAUGGCGGUACCUAGCAAGCCCACCUGCAGCCUGGGGAGUCUGAAACAGGGCCUGUGCGUGUGGGACCAGGAGCACCCUCCACGUUCCGCCCUGGACAG